CGGCUGCUGUGGAGGUAUUUUCUGCUGCGGAGGAUGUUGCUGGUGUUGUGGUUGCGGCGGCGGUAGCUCCUUCGGGGACUCUUGUUGUGGUGGUGGUGGUGCCACGGCAGGGACGGCGACAGGCCGUGGAGGAGGGGUCACCGGGAUUGGUAUCACAACUGGCCGCGGAGGUGGUGCAGCAGGAAUGACUGCAGCAGCAGGCGGCGGUGGUGGCACCUGCAUUGGCUGGCCGCCUAUUUUCUGCAAAAACUGGAUGAGAGCUGAGUCCCUUGACGCGGCGACGGCGCGCUCCUGCGCCAGUAACUCGUGCUCUCGGUUCAGCCGCGCCAUCUCCUGCCGCCUCCAUGCCUCCUCUCUCACCAUUCUCUCCUGCUCCCUCUUCUCAAUGGUCUCCAAGAACCGCUGCUGCAUUGCCUCCUGCUUCUCCAUCACCUGCAUCAUCAGCCCCUCGAAGAAGGCCAUCAUUUUCCUGCUACCGGUUGGGCCUCCGCUACUGCUACCACGCUUUCGCUUUCGGCCUUCUGUGCUUGGGCCGCCCCCACCUUCUUCAGUGUCUUCAUCGUCAUCCGAGUCGUAGGACGAUGAAGUGAAUGUGUCGGAGGACAGGCUAAUCCCGGUGG
rnacentral:misc_RNA from 1 species